rnacentral:rRNA from 1 species
CAGUAGCCGCGGUAAUACGUAGGGUGCGAGCGCUAAUCGGAAUUACUGGGCGUAAAGCGUGCGCAGGCGGUUUGUUAAGACAGAUGUGAAAUCCCCGGGCUUAACCUGGGAACUGCAUUUGUGACUGGCCGGCUAGAGUAUGGCAGAGGGAGGUGGAAUUCCACGUGUAGCAGUGAAAUGCGUAGAUAUGUGGAGGAACACCGAUGGCGAAGGCAGCCUCCUGGGCCAAUACUGACGCUCAUGCACGAAAGCGUGGGGAGCAAACAGGAUUAGAUACCCCAGUAGUCCCUGUCUCUUAUAC